CAGAGUUACCCCAGUGUGGCGACUUCUGGACUUUCCUGCUUGCGGUGGAGCUGAAGAAGCUCACAGAUGAGACAGAGCCUUUUCCAGCUGUGCAAUAAAACAUUUGUGACUAUCCAGGAAUGAGGCUCCUUAUUGGCAUAUCCUAGAUGGCAUUGACAUGCACCAGGCUCACAUGAAAACCAUCACAUCACCUGCAGGAAGGAGAAAAAGAAGGGAGGAAUGACUCUCAGCAUUUCCUGAACCUAUGCAGCGGGUUUGAAACUCCUGGAAAGGUUUUAAACAUGUAGGAAGACCAAGAGACUGCAAUUCAGUGAGUAAACAGAGAGAAAUCUUUAUUUCUGGCUCCACUUUGGGAUUUGUAGCUCACUGCUCCUCCAGGCUGAAUGCAGCAAAUCCUUGAAGAGCAUGAUUAAGUCCUCCUGUUUCUGUGCAAGAGCCUGGAGCAGCUGCCUCCGUUCUCCUCUGGCUGGACUGUGUUUCUCAGGAUACAGGAGGGAUGCCAAGGAAGCAAUGUCUCUCCUGGGACAGGGUUGGAUGAAUCAUGUUAAGGGAGCUCCAGCAGAAAGUUUCACCCGCAAAGGGGUGGGGAACAGCAGCUGAUCUGGACCAAAUGAUGACUUAACCUUAAAAAUUAAGAUGUUUCUUCAAUUUUUGACCUGCUGGAAAACUGAAAAUAUUUCCAUGACAAUAUUUCCAUGAAACCCAACUUUUUUUCAGCAGCAAACCUUUCUUCUGCCCAAAGUCUGCCUGUUGGAAUGCUCCCCACCAGCUCUAUUGGUGGGCUGGGAAUUUUCCAGGACUAGCCUGAAGUUUCAGUCAAGGAGUUGUUUGGGGUUUUUUGGUUUGUUUAUUUGUUUGCUUUUAAGGCAGCCAAGCAAAACAACUGCUGGCAAGAACCUGAGUACCUGAUUCAUCCCUAUAAAAUUUUCUGCAAAGUGAGAAGGCGUUUGCUUUUUAAACUGAAUUUCCUCUGCUGCUCCA